rnacentral:lncRNA from 13 species
UGGGGCUGCAUUCAAGUCACGAGUGUGUCCCAAAGUUGAUGGGUUUAUUGAGCCCCUCUUUACUCUCGUUUCGUCAAGUGACAAUUGGGGGUCCUCCGAGUGAGUUGGUAGGGAAAAAGUGAGAGCCGGUUUGGGAUAUAACUAGUAUUCUGUCCCAGUCAUUUACCAGAAACAAGGUAGACAUCUUGGAGAUGCAUGGUUUGCAAUGCAUGUGUUGGCCUGUAGGUAGGUGCUAUCUGUCAGUGGUGCUCAGUUUUCAAGGGGCAUCCUGCAGCUCAGGGAUUAAAAUUGACAGGGAAGCUCAUCUUUGGUUCAUGGUUGACAUGUUAGAUUUUUGUUGACCUGCGUGUGUGUGUGUGCCUUUUUAAUCUUGCUCAAUUUAAGUGGUAACGGUCCCUAACCACUAAGUGUCAAAAAGAAUAGGGCCAGAUCAUCACAACACCUUUGCCUCUGACACAAACAAUUACAUUUACGCUCAUAACUCUUUACUCUGCUGUGCUGUGUUACAAUCAACACUUUCUUUUAUUUGAGGGAACACUAUUGGGGUCUUAUGCAUAAAGCCAUUAUACACUUUAUUGAAGUGGUGACUAACAACCUCUCGCUUAUUUUCAAUACGUAUUUGUCAACAUCGUUUUUCUCAUUCUCUUUGAUAGAAUGUAUCAAUCAAAAGAAAGGCUUUUGAAUUGCAGUGAUAUCAGGUGUCAUAUCAUGUUUUAGGGGGGCACAAUGCUUUGUUUGUUUAUGUUGUUCUGGGUUUAAAAAAGUUGCAGGCAGAGAAAUUAAAAAGUUAAGAUGUGAUGUUCUACUGUAACAUGUUGUUUCUUAAAGCUACAAUCCUUUGAAAUAAUAACAAAGGGUCACCCCACCUCUGUUUUGGUAAAAAUCUGAGGGAUGGGCCUGGAGAAGUGUUACCACUCUCAAAUUCAUAGACAGAGCUAUGGAUGCAAGGACUGACCAUCCCAUGAUAUAAACAUUCUAGUUUUUGCCAUGUUUUGAGGCUAUAAAGUGUUUUUUAAAUAUAUUUUCUUUGUUUACAAACAUCGGAGCAAAACAAGCUACGUUAUAUUUUGGAUUCUGAUGGGGUACAACAAUUGAACUCAUGAUGCGUUUAUAAGUACAAAUGUUCAAGAAUCAAUGGCCUAUGUAUCAUUAAUCCGUGAGGCCAAAAAUUUAUGUUGCAACUAAGGAUUCUAGCUUUAACCUCCAACAUGGGUUUAUAUACUUUGUGUCCAUGUGUCUGCCCUGACUGUAACUUUGACUACCUGUAGCUAUCAGAGCAAUACGUGUUCAAAGCAUGCAUAGAAUGUCAGGACUUGAAACUAAAUAAACAUGAACCUUAUGCAACUGAGAGACCAAGGCCUCAAUGUUUUUAUUUCUCUCCCUUUGCCCAAAAAUGUAUAAUUGACCAAAAGUAAAAUUUCAGAUGAAUGAC